UGUAGCUACGUACGGAGGAGCUGCGCGUUCAUUGCUGCUACAAAUUACAUGAACGCUACCUGGGAAAACACAACAUGUGGUAUGGCAGCAGCUCCAACGAUUUUCAACUAUGGUCGCAGCGAGCAGCAUCCUGCAGGGAGCAUUAUAAUGGUCAAGUCCUGAGCUGACAAAGGCUGAAAAACAAAGAAACCCAAACUGUGUGCAUGAGGUCAGCAGAGAGACUCUUACAUACUCCCUGUGCAUAAUCUAGCAUACUAGAAUUUUCUAGUGAAUUCAGGCCACUGUUGAACCACUGUGACACCUGUAGAAGUUAGAAAACUCCAGCGAAUCCUGGCCUCAAGGAGCUGCUGGCAGGUUCCCUUUGCUUCCAUCCAUACAUCUGGGCUCCACAC